rnacentral:rRNA from 1 species
GAUGAACGCUGGCGGCGUGCCUAAUACAUGCAAGUAGAACGCUGAAGGAAGGAGCUUGCUCUUUCCGGAUGAGUUGCGAACGGGUGAGUAACGCGUAGGUAACCUGCCUGGUAGCGGGGGAUAACUAUUGGAAACGAUAGCUAAUACCGCAUAACAGUAGAUAUUGCAUGAUAUCUGCUUGAAAGGGGCAAUUGCUCCACUACCAGAUGGACCUGCGUUGUAUUAGCUAGUUGGUGAGGUAACGGCUCACCAAGGCGACGAUACAUAGCCGACCUGAGAGGGUGAUCGGCCACACUGGGACUGAGACACGGCCCAGACUCCUACGGGAGGCAGCAGUAGGGAAUCUUCGGCAAUGGACGGAAGUCUGACCGAGCAACGCCGCGUGAGUGAAGAAGGUUUUCGGAUCGUAAAGCUCUGUUGUAAGAGAAGAACGAGUGUGAGAGUGGAAAGUUCACACUGUGACGGUAUCUGACCAGAAAGGGACGGCUAACUACGUG